GGGCUGGCAGCAACCUCAGCUGCCCAGCCAACGGAUCGACGCCCCGUCCUUCAUGUUACAAACCAAAAAAAACUGAAACUUGUCAUUCGAAAAAGAUGCUGACAUGCUUGACAACUAAAGUUGCCAUCCUCGCAUCACUAAACUCGCCUAAAAAACGUUCGAAAUUGCCAUGUGUUCGUGCAACACAUGUGGCACUUAUCAUGGUCCAACAAAUAAGCAUCUUGUGACAUAAGAAAUCAAAUUCGUUGCAACAACAAAAAGAAAUGCUAACAAUUAUUUUCUUUGGGCAAGCAAUCACAUCUCUGGUGAAGUAAAAGAUGACAAGUACUCCCUCCAUAAAGAAAUAUAAGUGUUUAGAUUACUAAAGUAGUGAUCUAAACGCUCUUAGAUCACACUAAAGUAGUGAUCUAAACACUCUUAUAUUUCUUUACAGAGUGAGCAUCACCUAGAGUAAUCGGCUCAUCAAGUUAACUGCAGCCAACUAAGCAGCAAUCAUCGUAAAAAAGCAGGGACGAUUCGAAGUUCAAACCAACGGUCCCUAGAAAGAUAUCACAAGUUUGCAUUACCUCAUAGCAAGGUGCCCCAUCUGGCAACAAUCGAUCAAUACCGAUAGCACAAGUUCGCAUUACCUCCUACCUGGACCUACAUGAACUAUAGACCCAUCGCCCAUUCGGCAGUGAACCAAUAACUGUUUUGGGUAUGCUGUAGCAGAUAGGGGCAGCACAAAA